GAAUCUUGUUAACAGUGUUCUUCGUUAAGACGCACAUCACUCACAUCAGUGUUUCAGUGUAUUAAUCUUUGUGUCUAAUAUAGUGUAAUAUAUCUAAUAUAGUGUAUAUCAGUGUAUAAUUAUAUUUUUAUAUAACUUAAAAGUUAUUUGUCGAUUAGCAUAUUAAUGUAAAUAAUAUCAAGAUUAAAUAAGUUCAAUACAAAAACUGAACCAUAUUAAUAUUGUGUUAAACAAAAAAAAAGUGUACUAUAAACUUCUCUCUAGACGUUUACUCAGUGUGUAUUGUGUACAAAAUACGAACUUGUGGACUAAUUUAGCUAGAUAAAAAUUUGUGUUGUGUGUAAAGCUUCGUUUUAUGUUUAAUUACGUAAAACAUUUAAGGUUAGUAAAAAUCAUUGAAAAAAUACAUUACAAUUCUUUACUAUUUUUAAAAUAAUUUUUUAUUUCAAUAAUCUGUUUUUUUCAGAUGGCUUUUAUGUAUGCAUUAGUUUUAUUUUUAAAUGAUUCGUCCAAUAAAGAAAUUGAUAUAUUGAAUAUCGUGGGAUGUACCGGAUGUAAAUUAGCCUGAAUCAUUGUUAAAAAGUACUAAGUAUUGUAAAUUAUUACAAACAAUAGUUAAACAUUGUGAAGGGUCUGACCGACAUGGCCAACGUUUUAUGUUCAAAUAAGUGGCACAGCAGAAACAAUGGAAGAGGCAGAGGAAAAAUUAAUAAGAUUAAAAAGAACCCCUAUUCUUCUCUACCAAUAAUGAGUAGUCUGGCAAAGCAAAAGCGGCUGCUGUUGAAAAAACUUGCAAGCAUUAGCAAAGGAUUGAUUAAAAAUAGAUAAUACUUAUAUUUAGCCACAUAGCUUUAGAGUUAACUGACGAACCCACUGAAAUUGCAGAACCUAAGAAAUAAAAGCCAUAAAAAUGUAACCAAAAAAUUGUGAAGAAACAAGCCUAAAAACAUAGUCUCGAAUGGUCAUCUACAUCAAUAGUGUCUUCGAUAUCUUCAUCACCACCGUCAUUGUUAUGUAAACCUACGAAAAUAAAUAAUGAAACUAAAAAAAACGAAUUAAUGAGAGUACUAACUACAUAGUUGGCUCAAAAAAAAGGAAAAAAAUUAGUUCAUAAUCUACACCAUACUACCUUGAUCAUCUUCAUCAUCACCAUCAACUAAACGUAGAAAAAUAAGAAAAAUCAACUCGAAUUUGAAGGACAUAAAUAUGCGUAUGGAAAUAGCACAUGAAGACAGUACAUUAGCAACAAUUGCUGAUAAUCCCUUUUCAUCAUCAUCAUAAAUCUGAAACAGAAGCUGAAAUGAAUAUAUUAGCAGCUAGAUCAUCAUCAACAAAAAAUACUGUAUCCAGUGAUUCUUUGCUGGAAUGUAUCAAACAUAAUUAUAACGGUCUAUCAAAACAAUUAGCAAAUUUAAAAGGCCAUAUCUGCUGACGUUCCCAAAUCCUAUCUGAAAUAAAAAAAUAACAGUACUCAGCUGUUAGAUUUCAGUUUAUUAACAGAUUCUGAAGGAAAUCCAGUGGUCCAAAAAUUAGAAUUUCCACUAUCAACAAUGGAAGAUAUUAUUUUGAUAAAUUCAAUGAAAAAUUAAAAGGCCAAAAAUAUAAAAAUAAAAUGAAUAAACGUAUAUACUUUUCUCUUGAUGGAAAAAAUACUUUUACCCGUAAUAUGGGAAAUAUUACUCGUGUUUAUAUAACAAGAGAUGACAUAUGUAGCAGUUAAAGCAACUUCAAAAAAAAGUUUUCAAAGAUACGACUUUUUCACUUCUAUAAAAAGUAUGUUAAUCAUUAUAUAGUGCAGAAUUACUAUAAUUGAUACCUAAUUAAUUAUUUCUUAAUUAUGUGUUAUUAUUUUAUACCCAAUAAUAAUUAUUUUUUACUAUUACUAAUUUAAUUACGUACAUGAUUAAUUUAAAUUUUGAUUCGAAAAGAAUCAAGAAAGUAUUUUCGAUAAUAAAUUCCAUCAAGCAUUGUCUGUAGUAUUGAAUAAUGCUAAUAUAAUAAUAAAGAUUGGGAUGGGUACAGGGUAUCCAGGAUCAAAAACUACCAUCUAAUGAAGAUAAAUAAAAACAACUAUUUUUUUUUUGCUGUGUAAAAUAUUUUGCCAAGCAAACAAAAAGAAAAAUUAAUUCAUAAUAUUUAAUAACAAUCAUUAUUAUUUUUAACUAUAACAUAAAAAUAAUUGAUAUUUAAAGUAAAAACAAAAAUAAAUAAUACAUUUGAAAAAAUAAAUGGAAAUAAAUAUGUUUUUUUUCAAUCGGAUAAGUUUUAUUUCUGUUUAAGUGCACAAUAAAGUGUAUUGUUAUGUUAAGUUAAAUGUAUAUAAUAUGUUAUUUUAAAUAUACAUAGUAUGUUAAGUAACAUAAUAUCAUUUCUUUUUUUUUUUUUUGACGUGACGUCUAAUAAAUCGAUUAACGCCGGCUUCGUUACGAUCAUAUGUAUGCUUGUGCCGCAUCUAUCUGAUCGGCCUAUGCAUCCGAGGAGAUGUUUUGUUAUGACGGUUGUCACGUUUAACUAUCGUCUGUAAACCAACUUUGCAGACAACCAAGUUUUUUAAUAAACAAUUUUGUCAAGACUGUACAUUCGUGUUUUAUUUAAAAGGACCGCACUUUUUUUUUUUUUGAUAUCGCAGGGUAACCCAUUUACGGGUGAUAUCCAGGAUGCCAGGGUAGGCAUUCCUAGACUGUAUGUCGGCUUAGUACUUGGGGGUGCACUACCG
rnacentral:misc_RNA from 1 species